GUGCAAAUUGUGUGCAAUACAAAUGUCAAGUAGCACUUUUUGCAACAUUUUUCUACUUUAUGACUUUAUUUGGUUGAUAUAAUACAAAUUCUGAUCUAGAUAUGUGGCAUAUGCCUUAGUGACAGACAUUUUAUGCAGGGCAUCAGAAUCUUUAGAUACAACUCCAAUAUUAGAUAUCAAUGAAAUUAGGAAUGAUGAGUCAUCAACAGCAAAUUGCCCCUCCUAGUAGGGGUUCUGUGAAUGGAUUCCCCCAUCUAAAGCUGGAUUUUUUUUAUGUUUUUUGUCAGACUUCUGUUGUAAAUUAAAUUGUGGGUCAUCUGUUCGACCCAGAAAUGACAUUCAUAAGGGCUAGUGUGGAUUCUCUUCAUGGAUCUAUUUUAAUUUCUCGGUCACCAAAUCAGUCCUAAAUGUUUGAGAUUGCCCCAUAUUACAUUUAUGUGUUCUU
rnacentral:lncRNA from 7 species